UAUCCGUAGGUGAACCUGCGGAAGGAUCAUUAAUGAAUAUUAGGGUGCUCUUUUCAUCAAAGAGGCCUGACCUUCAUUCUUCUACCCUGUGCACUAUUAAAAUAUUUGGCAGUUGGUAGUUUGGCUUGUAAAAGGGCCUUACGACUCUGCUGAAUUCACUCUUAAACUCUAAAGUAUAAGAAUGUUAUAAAUACAAAACAAAAAAACUUUCAACAACGGAUCUCUUGGCUCUCGUAUCGAUGAAGAACGCAGC
rnacentral:misc_RNA from 1 species